UCAUCCAUGAAAAUGUAAACAGAAAACAAACGUAUCAUGAAAAUCUGUUCGGCCUGUAAAGGAGUGAAGGCAUGGAGAUACAUAAACAUAUCUGGAGAUGAAGAAGUGUUUUACAAAAAAUUCUGUUCCUUAUUUUGUGUUGAUCAAGUCCAAGAGAAUGUCAUCCUUUGCUACAAUUGUAGAUCAUUUAUGACAAGGGUCAACACUUUUGUAGUAAAGAGAAGGAAGUCCAAGACAAUGGGGAUGUAUACAAUGCAUAAGAACUUACGGUGUAUUACCAAGUACCUCUCUACAAGAGCUUAACACAAAGGAUCCAGUGAAUAGAACAUCUGGAGUAAAAAGAUCAUUUUGCAGGUACACAACUUCCGGAAAGAAGAAAAUAUGCUGAUCUUUGAUCACGAACUUGUAAACAGAGGGAAAAAUCUAAUUUAUAGACAAUCGGUGUAUUUGAUCUGUAUGUCAACCCAGUAAAACCAAAGAGACAAAAAGGAAAGAGGAAACAGUCUUCGACCUCAUCAAAUAAACAAACCAGGAAACAAAAAUCAAGAAAAUCCAGUUCAUCAGACUCCGAUAUCACUGACACUCUCAACCACAGGGGUCAGGUCAAAUAAGUCAAAGGUUUUAAUAUUUUAUAAAAACAAGACAGAGACAAAUUAAAUUUUUGGGCCGAAGCAUUAAACAUGAAUGGAUAAUUGAUGAAACUUCACAACAAAAAGAAUGGUAUAAAGGGACUGUAGUAUCUUUGUUAUCUGGAACUGAUGGAAGAUUAACUGUCAUUUAUGAAGUUUUGUAUGAGGGAGAGGAUGAACCAUUUGAAAUUGACCAUUUAAUACAGGAUUAUCAAUAUGGAUCAGUGCAGUUCAUUGAUGUGUAACAGGUUAUAAGAAAAAAGGGUUUUUGUGACUUAGGACAUUACUGGAUUUUUUAGAAGAUGGACUUACUUGUAUACAGAAUUUUUGACUUAUGAACAUAUAUUGUUGUUUAGAAUUGUUUAAUUUGAAUAGUGCUCAUCACAAGGAAGAUUUUGAUAUAUGAUAUGAUAAAGGUUUAUGAUGUUUCGUUGUGAAGAGCAGUUUUGUGGAGAAAAUGUUGAAAAACUAAAUUUCUAUAAAUCAGUGGACGGUUUAAACAGAAUAUCGAAAACAAUGCAAUGAAUUAUAGGUUAUAAGAAAACUAAAAUCACAAAAAUACUAAACUCCGAGAAAAAUUUCAAUCGUAAACGAGUGGACAACAACAAAAAGGCAUUUUCAAAUGUAGAAAAUGGUGGAUUGAACCUGGU